AAUGAACGCUGGCGGCAUGCCUAACACAUGCAAGUCGAACGAAGUCCUUCUGGGCUUAGGGGCUCACGGGUUCGUAACGCGUGGGAAACUGCGCCUUGGUUCGGAAUAACAGUUGGAAACGACUGCUAGUACCGGAUGAUGACGUAAGUUCAAAGGUUUAUCGCCGAGGGAUGAGCUCGCGUAUGAUUAGGUAGGUGGUUUGGUAAAGGCGCACCAAGCCGAGGAGCCGGAGCUGGUCUGAUCGGAGGCUCAGCUACACUGGGACUGCGACACGGACCAGGCUCCUACGGAACGGAGCAGUGGGGAAUAUUGGACAAUGGGGGAAAGCCUGACAACGCCAUGUCGCGUGAGUGAUGAAGGGCUUAGGGUUGUACAGUCCCUUUACCCGGGAUGAUAAUGACAGUACCGGGAGAAUAAGCUCCGGCUAACUACGUG
rnacentral:rRNA from 1 species